rnacentral:tRNA from 1 species
GCUGGAGUGGCGUAAAUGGCAGACGCGCGGCGCUGAGGUCGCCGUCGGGCUUGACGGCCCGUUGAGGGUUCGAGUCCCUCCUCCAGCA